UGUAGGAAAACAUGAAGAUUACUGUAUAUUUUAAAGUCAAAUCUUUUAGUGUGAUUCACUUGAAAAAUUUGAACCUUCACCUAUGUACUGUAUUUCAAGUGUAUUUUUUCAGAAUGUCAAAAGACUGAAGGAGGAGACCAGUCUCCUUGAAGAAAAGCAGGCAGAGCUGGACAUCAACGACACUGUGCUUCAGGAGUGGGUUGCUGAGGUGCAGCAGUGAAAUGAAGGCAACAGCCAUCUUGCCAUCAAAAAGGCAAUCUUCGACAGACUGAUGUUGUUGAACAGACUGCAGGAGGAAGAGAGGAUCCUGGGGCAGGAGAUGAAGAGGCACUGGGGGAGCCUACAAAGAGCAAGGGGAACUCUGGAGGCACUGUCCCAACAGCUGCAAGAUCAGAGCAAUGCAGUGGAGUUGUCAGAGGGAGGGAGGGAGGAAUGGCCUUCUCUGCCACCUGAAGAGAAGAUUGAGUGAACUGACACAAGACCAAGUCAACACCAGGAAUACCUACCACAAGCUGAUUCUGGGAGAAGGGGAUAUUCUUGAUGACUCUGAUGUAGACGAGAACUCAGAUGAAGAUAGAAGUCCUAUUGCUGAGAGCUCAGAUGAUGACUGCUAUGCUUUCCCGCAGGAGAGGUAAAAGGCAGCCACCACCUCCCUUGGGAGCAGCCUGGUCUCCUGACGUUGACCCCUGACCCCUCACCUUCUGAACCCAUCCAGAGAAAUGUAAUUUGCCUGAUGACGUGCUAGUGGAGAAGGAAUUUGUAAUUUCAGCACAUUUGUUGCCAUAUUUUCUCUCCUCUCCUCCAUUUCUUCCGGU